ACAAAGAAAAACCCUAUUCCCCUUCCCCCUUCUUUGGGACUCCGACCCAAUGCAUGCUGCCAGCCAGCAACGCUUCUUAACACCAGUCACCAGCGUUCAUCUUUGAUAUUCCCCCUUUCUGCCUUUCAUUGCCAAAAUCUGCACUACACCAGUUGAGAAACAAACCAGAAAAUUCACCACCACUCUUCCAACCUCGUCUUCUCUUUCUCCUAUUUUACCCGUCCCUCAACCUAAUUUGAAGUUGAGAUUUCUUUGUUUUCAUUGGUUUUCUUUGCUUUCUUGCAUCUGUUCCAAAAUGCGUUUUUUAGUUCUUAGAGUAAAAGUUUAUAUUUAUUUGUUUUCAUUGGUUUUCUAUGCUUUCUUGCAUUUAUUCCGAUAUGGGUUUUAAUUCUUCUAUUUCUUGGUGUUCAAAUUGGUUUUUGAUGUUUUCUUUUUUCAUAGCAUAGGAUUUUAAUCUCUUUUUUUGCUCUAAUAAUCAUUGGCUCUAUUGCACUUGUUGCAACAUUUGCGGGAGGUUUGCAACUUAGACAUGUUUACAUUAUCUUUGUACAAGUAAGAUGCUCUAUGAAUUGCUGGUGUUAUCAUAUUGUCUUGAUUGUAUAUUAUUAUUUGUGGCUUAAAGAAUCAGUGGUAUUGAGCAAUUGGCUGGAUAUGAUGCAAGGAUGGUUCUGAUAUAACAUGAGCAGAUGUUACUGAUGGAGAAAAGAUAAAGAUAAAAGAACUCGUAUAAGUGUAAGAUAAUUCUCUUUUCGUUUCCUUUUCCUUUAUCCUUUACUCAUUGCUUUUUCAUGAUUGAAUUCUUGGAACUUUUACCAUAUUGAACAGUAAAAAAAAAUAAUUAUACCAAACAAGCAGAUGUGAUUGAACCAACUUAACUCUGAAGAUGGCUUCAUCACAUAUCAAAUUGAGAAGGAGGUGCCCCUUGAUUUCCUUAUGGAUCUUUAAUAAGUUUGUGUGAUUAUUUUUCAAGGAUUUAGUUAUCAUUGGGUUUAUUUAUAUCUAUAUGAAGUAAACAAUCAUAGGAAAUAUCAUGAUUCUGUUUAGCAAAAAUUUGCAAAAUGUGUUAUGUCUGAAUUGCUUUCAGGGAGAGAGUAAUCAAAGAUUAAGCAUAUUGAAAUCAGACUUUUGUCAUAUAAUGUGAGUUAAUUAUGUCAGAAGUCUUGGAGGUGUCCUUACCCCUGCAUGUCUACCUCUAUGUUCCAUUUAUGUUGUAAAUUGAAUUGUAGUUACCAAGAAUUUGAAUCUGCACAUGGACAACGAAGGCCUUGGAUUUAAUUUUACUACCUUUAACCUCCCUCUUUGCUAUGUGUUUAUAAUUCAACAUUAAUCGUGAUUGGCAAGUUUGCAUAUUGUGAUGCGCAUUUACUAUAUGAGAAUUUGAGAGAAUAUUUUCCAUGUCUAAUUUUGGCAUGCUAAUACUUUGUUGUUCAUAUGUCUAAUUCUUUGUUGUUGUUUGUCUUCGUUUUUUGGAAGAUUGAGAUUGUGGUGGGAAAAGAUGAGAAACUUGGUGCUAUCAAUGUAGUUGUAACUUCAAAGAAGGUUGAUGAUUAGAAGGUAUAGAUAUUAAAGAAAAGCAAUAGCAUUGGAAAUUCACUACUUGUCAUGGAUGAUCUUUUCCUGAAAUAGGAGAUAGUGGACCUAAACCUUUCUGUCUGUGUGUGUGUUUUUCUUCUUUUAUCAAUCUUUUAUGAUAUUCGAGUAUCAAUCUACUGUACAGUUUGCAC
rnacentral:lncRNA from 1 species